rnacentral:lncRNA from 1 species
CAAACAUAGGGAUCAAAUAACUUUAUUUCAUUGAUAACUGAACUGUUUACAAUGACUACAAAUGUCACAGUCUCCCCUACUUCAGGAAAUUUCGUCCCGAAAUUUAAUCAGAGGAAACUUGUGAGAGCUCGAAACAUGAAGUCGGAAAGAUAAGACAAUACUGGUUGGGUUCUGAACUUCUAGUAACUUUAAUAACAUUAUGCUUGCAGUGUAAGAGGGACACUUAUAUACAAGUAUAUGAAGUGUCAUUGGUGCGUCCACCGUACCUCAUUACAUCGUUCACAUUCCGUCAUUGUUGCCACUAUCAGUUCUUACACAUGAUAAAUCUUACUGUGGUUUCUGUGCACUGAAUUUCAUAAUUAUGUACGCGUCCAUAAUUACGUAAUUCCUUGCAUAGUCCCCGUAGUGUAUUUGAUAAUGUGUAGGGAAGAACCAAAUGAAUGAACCUGUGAUGAGCGUGACCAGACCAUCAUUGAGUCCUGUAGAUCAAUAAAUGAUCUUUUAAAACAGACUACCUAGAAGUCUUUCCAGCUAUAUCACAUUUCAUUCCUGACCAGAUGUUGAAUCAAUCUUUAACUAGACCACUCAAGGGGUCUUUUUCGAAAUAUGAAAUGGCACUUAUAUAAUCCAAGGGUCUUAACUACCACGUAGAAGCCCGUUAAGGAUUUAAGGUAGUACCUCUGAAUAUCCUACUAUGAAUCCCUCAUAUAAAGAUAUGGGAGAUUCUAUGAGGAUUUCAAAAACAAAUCGGAUCGCACAAAACACAAAGGAGAACACAUAAACACAUAAUCACAAAAUCGCAAAAUUGAUUAAUUCGACCUUUAAUUUGUUAUCUUUGGACCAGGGUAUUUAAAGUACACCAGGAAUCCAAUCCGUGGAUUUCAUUUGGCACUU